CCACAGCUCCAUCUACACAAAGGCUGCUGGAAGAGAACAGUUUCACUUCUGCACACUGGCCCUGGUUGCAGCUGGAGCGUCAGCUUGCCAGUGAGGUGGGGAGGCAGUGGCCGAGUCAGAUGGAAGAAGCCAAGAGCCCACCAUUCAAGCCAAGUGACCUUGGCGUGUGAUGUCUAACUCCUCAACCCAUGACCUACAAACUGGCCAUGAAAGAGCCCUCACCAAGAUUUUGCCUUACCUCUUCAUCUGCCCAGAUGUGACCCUUGAUAAUUAAUAAAGUCAAUGGUGCAAGAAUAAAAUAAAGAAAUAAACAGGCCUGAUCCUC